rnacentral:rRNA from 1 species
AUCAAUAAGCGGAGGAAAAGAAACCAACAGGGAUUGCCUUAGUAACGGCGAGUGAAGCGGCAAAAGCUCAAAUUUGAAAUCUGGCACCUUUGGUGUCCGAGUUGUAAUUUGAAGAAAGUAACUUUUGGAAUAAGCCUUGCAUAAGUUCCUUGGAACAGGACGUCAUAGAGGGUGAGAAUCCCGUAUAUGGUGGGGUAUUUAUUUCAAUGUAAAGUGCUUUCGAAGAGUCGAGUUGUUUGGGAAUGCAGCUCUAAGUGGGUGGUAAAUUCCAUCUAAAGCUAAAUAUUGGCGAGAGACCGAUAGCGAACAAGUACAGUGAUGGAAAGAUGAAAAGAACUUUGAAAAGAGAGUGAAAAAGUACGUGAAAUUGUUGAAAGGGAAGGGCUUGAAAUCAGACUUGGUAUUCAGUGAUCAGCAAUCUCUCGGGGUUGUGCACUUGCUGUUUACUGGGCCAGCAUCGGUUUUGACGGUGAGAUAAUAGCACUUGAAUGUGGCUCUCUUCGGGGAGUGUUUAUAGCUUGUGUUGAUAUCAUCAGUCGG